AUAUAAAAUUUUUGUUUGCUGAAAUGUCUGUGAUGUCUGUUCGUGGAGUAAUCUCCGAACGUAGAUCAUAGAUCUGACUAUUCCGCAGAUGGUAAGGUCUGCUAGUCACGUAGUUUCCAACGUAUUUAGUUAGGAUAACAAUAGUAAGUCGUGUAUCCAUUAUCUGGAGCUUGAUUGGGUUCAUACAUCGUAUUAUCUGAUAAACGGUGGCAAGCUGAAUAUCUCUUGACUGACCGUGGCCAUGUCGGUAUAAUUCCAAUCCGACCUUAGUCAUUUUGGUAUUUUGCCUUUCUUGGUUGAUACCAAGUCGGCAAAUUAGCUAGCCAUU
rnacentral:lncRNA from 1 species